AAGGUUGUAGAUUCUGGCUGAUGAUGUCACUGACACAAAGAAAAAAAAAAUGCAAAACAGAUAGUCUUAAAUAAGCUUUCUGGUGAGACCAACUGCAUUUUGGCCAUGGCUCUGCAGAGCACUCUGGGGACAGUGUGGCUGGGACUUCUCCUCAACUCUCUCUGGAAUGUUGCAGAAAGCAAGGACCAAGUGUUUCAGCCUUCCACAGUGGCAUCUUCGGAGGGAGCCACGGUGGAAAUCUUCUGUAAUCACUCUGUGUCCAAUGCUUACAACUUCUUCUGGUACCUUCACUUCCCGGGAUGUGCACCAAGACUCCUUGUUAAGGGCUCAAAGCCUUCUCAGCAGGGACGAUACAACAUGACCUAUGAACGAUUCUCUUCAUCGCUACUCAUCCUCCAGGUGCGGGAGGCAGAUGCUGCUGUUUACUACUGUGCUGUGGAGGACACAGAGGCAGGGAACCCAUGAAGAGCUGAACAGAAACAGAGAUCACAGCCUUUGCAGGAGGCAAAACAGAUGAGCAAUAACUUUUUCUUCCUUAAUUCAGUGUUACCCAAGCUUUUUCAUUUGAUACUGCUAUUAGGAAAAAAAAUCGAGUCCAGACACACACUAUAUAUUAACAAAUGUCUAUAAAAAUAUGCUUUUAAUUUUUUUUUGAGAUAGGAUCUUGCUCUGUCACCCACGCUGGAGUGCAGUGGCAUGAUCAUAGCUCAUUGUAGCCUUGAACUCCAGGGCUCAAGGGUAGCUGGGACUCAGCCUUCUGAGUAGGUGAGACUAUAGGCAUGUGCCACCAUGCCCAGUGAAUUUUCCUCCUUUUUGUAGACAUGAGUUCUCUCUGUGUUGUCCAGACUGGUCUCAAACUCCUGGCUUCAAGUGAUCCUCCUGCUUCGGCCUCCAAAAGUGUUAGAAUUACGGGUGUGAGUCAAUGCACCCAGCCCAGAAAAUAUGCUUUUAAAUGGUGAUUAUUUCAAACAGUCUUCUUGAUAUCUGAAACACUUUUGACUCAUUUUUUUGAGAUCUGAUUAGAUUAUUUUUGCUUUUCCCUCAUAAAAUGACUGAUGAUGAACUUGCGAUAGUA